rnacentral:siRNA from 1 species
GGAAUCUUGAUGAUGCUG